GUCAUGGAGUCUCAUUUCAGAAGUUCGAAAAAGGCGUAUUUUAUGGGAUUAUUUUCAUAAAAUCAAAGUUGAUAGAGAUUGGGAAGCUGCAGAAAAGGAACUAUGUAUACCUAUUGCAUCCGUGUUUACGAUAUAAAUAAAGUAAGGACAUUUUUACCACACCGUAUAUUUUUGGAAAUCCGUACUUAUUUGAUCGGAUUUGUUUUUUUUUCGCAUCGCUUCGUCCAGAUUUAGUUAGGACACAGCAUUAACCGUCAAACAGUUAAUUUGAAUAUUUUUCAAAAUAACGAAAAUUUUGCGUAAUUUAAUAAUCACCGUUUCUUUAUUCUUUGCAAACACUUUCGGUUUCGAAAGUUCAAGGUAAUGUUGUACACAAGUCCAACGGUACCUAUUGAUGAUUUUGAUCAGCGUAAAUUUACAAUUCACAUAGUAACACGAUAAAAUAGAGGUGCAUUUUGUCGUUUGUAAUAACAUUACGUCUGUGAAUUUUCGGUUGAAAUUUUAACGAUUAUUUUAUUUCGUUUCGCGAGUGUGGGAGAUAGGGUGACUAGUGAGGGUGACGCUAACAAAAGACGUAGGGUGACGCUAACAAAAGAAAUAGGGUGCCGAACGGACUGUCGACGGCUGCAAGCUGUAGUGUAAUGCUGCACAGCUCGGGGCCUCGGGCUCGCCACGGAUGACGUACCUCGUAAACAAGCCGCGGUGUUCUCAUUGGCCAUUGGAUGUGCGCAUGUGUAUUACGCCACAAUUGGGAUUUAUAGGUUAUAAUUCAUGGGUGGUGCCUACAGCUUACAACACAAAGGGACCCUUUUACGAUCAAUACCUAUUUUAUUUGGUUACAUCACUCAUACGGUCUCACACACUCACACCACUCAUACCAUUGUUCGCUUUCCCAGUUCAUGUCAUUUAGAAUACGAAACGGUGAUGGUAAGACGUAGAUAUAGUCUCUCUGAGAGACUAUAUAAAUACUCUACUCUCUAGUGCUUUAAUACUAGAUUACAACUUAUCUACCCGCUACUACAAAUAUCUGUGCUACUUAGUAAGUAUGAGUGAGCUAUUAUUUAAUUUAAUUUAAUUAACUAUAGUAAUUAAUAUAUUACCAUGUUUUAUAAUAUCUAUUAUUACCAUGAUUUUAGGUAAAACACGCGAUUGAAAUUCAAACAGUAAAUAUUCAUCACAGACCAUAGUAUAAUCUUAUGACUCAUGGGAAAUUCAUGGAUUUCAGAUUUGUGGUUAACGUGCAUGAUUCUGCUCUGAUAUGCGGUCUUCAUAUAGGUAUAUAAAAUAUAUAAUAAUAAUAUAAUAUUAAAAAACCAACCUGGCAGUGUUAUAUUAUAUAAUAGAGCAUCGUGUAUAGGCACACUAAUGAAUAAUAAUUUACAAAAAUUAAAAUUUCAAACAAAACAAUUAAAUAGUAAAAUAAACAAAUAUAAAUUGGUUGCUAUUGUGUUUAGGACAAUUUACCAUAAUAUUAUUAUAUUGGAGUGCACUUGAAAGUAAAUAAUAUAUUCAAUUAGUUAAACUCAUAAAACAUUCCAUCCUUCUCUUACAUGUUAGUGAAAUAUAUUUAAACAACAGAAAUGUUAAUAAAAUUUAAUAUUUUGGUAUAUGUAUUUUAUUAUUAAUUAUACGGGAGUACAGAACGACAGAAAAAAAUAAGGUGAUAAAAUAUUUUAGUAUUAAUUUUUAUUAGAUAGAGUGAUUUUAGGUUGGAGAGAGUAUUUGUUAGACGCAUUAAACAGUCAAGAGGUUAAUUGCUGCAGUAAUUUGUAGUACGUUUGGGUACUACAUAAGGGGUGAGGGAGUGAGUGGAGUGCUGAAGAACUCGGAAAUUAAUACAAGAGAGGAAGGAAGGUACAUCAAACGAGUAGUCGUGAAUGGGGUGGGGAAUAUUCAAAGUAAACCAGCGAAGGACAGAUUUUAUUAUUUUAAAAUUGGUUAUACUCAAUAUGCAAUAGAGCAUUAUCAUGAAUCAUGAUCAAAUUUGACCCUAAUUACUUUCUUAAAUGAGAGAAGAAGGUGACAGUCAUAGUUUAUAAUUAACUUGUACAUCUAGAAUUGAUAUGGUCAAAACGAUUAGCACUGCAUCACUGUAGUACCAGUGUACCAGUACUACCUUGAACAACACAUGUGUGAUCGAGAGAACUAAUAGUAUCAAUUUUCUAUUAGACAUUAGGUAUUGCAUAGAGUAUUUAAAUCAUAUGAUAUUGGUACAAAUUUCCAAUUGUAUACACGUAACUAUAAAUCUAUAAUACAGUUGUAAUCAAGUUGUUAGUUCUCAUUAUAGAAGGCAAAUUAGAAAGGGUUUCCAAAAUUCACUUAAACGAUAGUGGAAGGCUUCAUUAUCUCUUCUGAUGGUUUGAUUAAGCCUCAUUUUUUAAAUUUAUAUAUAUAUAUAUAGUUAUGGCUGGGGUGACGAAGUGAAUUAGGAUUAAUUGAUAAAUAUUAAUAAAAUAUUAUUUGCAUGAGUUUGUUUGUAUGCAAUAUCAGGAUCAUAAAUUACAUACAAAUUGUGGGGGGGGGGGGGGCUAUAAAAUAGCUAAACUGUUCAAAAUAUUAAACCGGCUGUAUUUUUGCUUAAAUACCUAGUUAUUAACUAGUAAGUUUCUUAAUAUUGUUUUGUAAGAUUACUGUUGUAUUUUAAUUUUAUAAAAUUAAAACUUCUAGUAUGGAAUAUACUCUAUCAACUUCCAAUUCCACCUGUUGCAUCAAAUACAUUUCUAGUUGUACUGUAAUUUCCUAUUUCAGUCUUUGAUAUACAACAUGACGAAACUAAGCAAUAUUGCGAGGUAUAGAUAAAAUUUAUCAUCAUAAAUGAUUUUUUUUUUUAUAUAGAAUUACAAACAUUAACAAAAAAAACUACAAUAAUAUUGUUAUUGGCUGAUAUUGAAAAAUAAAAGUAUAGAAAUUAGAAUAUUAAACUGACAGCCAUCUAGACAUUAUCACACAUUAUUUGUUUAGGUUUUUUAAUGUCAGCUGUAAUAUUUUUUGUUUUAAUGAUUGGUAACAAUAUUUUUUAGCUAAUUUAUUUUUAUUAUUUAAUGUAAACCCCACACAAAUGAGUAACUGAAGAAAGAUGAAAAGCAGACCAAACUUAUCAACUAACUUGUAAAUCUAUGGAAUAAACUUUUUUGCAUAUUGUUUACUCCAUCAUGAGGAGUGGCUCAUGGUUAGGUCUCUUUACUUUAUGUUGAUAUUAGAUUUUUCACUACUCAAUGUCUUUCUCUUUAUAUGUAGAAUGUAUAUGGAUACAAAAUAUUAAAUAUUUAUGUAGGUUCUAGUUAUUUUAUAACUACUGAUGAUAACAAGUAAAUUUGUCAGUAUCCACCCAGUGAACAUUUCUUUUCAGAAAAAGUCCUAUAAAUGAUAAUCUGAGUAAACUUUCUGGUAGAAAAAGAGUUUAAAUAAAAAAAAAUUAAUGUAAAACCAAUAUAUAUCUAGAAAAUAGACUAAUAUCUAAUUUAAUAAUACUAAUGUCUCAAAACUUAAAAAUAAUUAAUUAAUAACAUUUAAUCUGGUUAUAGAUGUGAUGGAAAUUAAAACUGCAACUUCUAUGUAUACCUACAAUUAUGUGUCUUUCAACAGUGAAUAAGCACUGUAGCAAGUUGGGUUUGUUGUUCUUCUGUCAACCACCAAUCUAGAAUGUGAUCUCAAAUUAUAUUGAAAAAUAUUGGUUCAUUAUGGUAAAUAUGGUCUAAGAAAAGUUAAAUGUAUUGUGCUAAAAGCGCUAAGAACUUCUAAUAAUUAUGGUGGAAAUUUAUUACAAGUUUAUACAUAUAAUUAUCAAUUCUUCUAUAUAUAUUGUAGUGUAAAUGAACCAGAAAUACUUUACACUUGUGUUUUAUCAACUGUUUAUAAUAUUGCUACUUAAAAACUACCAAACAAACUGCACAAGAUGGAUCUGUUCACUCACAAAAAGCAAUACUUUUUCAAAUAUAUAUGAACAUAUUAUUAAAAGUUCAUGAAAGUGGUUGUGCAUGGGGUGUAAAGGGACUUUAUAUCCCAUGGACAACCACUUAUAUAUCUUUCAAUGAAAAUGAUCCAGAAAUAUUUAAAACUUGUGUUUUAUCAAUUGUUUAUAGUAUUUCGACUUGUAAACUAUUAAACAAACUGGACAAGGUGAAUCUGUUCACAACCUGAAAUACUUACACAAAUAUAAGUGAACAUAUUAUUGAGAGUUCAUGAAAGUGGGUGUGCAUGGGAUGAAAAGGGACUUCUCAUCCCAUGGACAUCCACUUAUAUAUCUCUCAGUGAAAAUGAUCCAGAAAUACUUAAAACUACCAAACAAACUGAAAAAGAUGGAUCUGUUCACACCCUGAAAUACUUACUCAAAUAUAAGUGAACAUAUUAUUAAAAGUUCAUGAAAGUGGUUGUGCAUGGGGUGAAAAGGGACUUCUCAUCCCAUGGACAACCACUUAUAUAUCUUUCAAUGAAAAUGAUCCAGAAAUAUUUAAAACUUGUGUUUUAUCAAUUGUUUAUAGUAUUUCGACUUGUAAACUAUUAAACAAACUGGACAAGGUGAAUCUGUUCACAACCUGAAAUACUUACACAAAUAUAAGUGAACAUAUUAUUGAGAGUUCAUGAAAGUGGGUGUGCAUGGGAUGAAAAGGGACUUCUCAUCCCAUGGACAUCCACUUAUAUAUCUCUCAGUGAAAAUGAUCCAGAAAUACUGAAAACUACCAAACACACUGGACGAGAUGGAUCUGUUCACAACCUGAAAUACUUACUCAAAUAUAAGUGAACAUAUUAUUGAAAGUUCAUGAAAGUGGGUGUGCAUGGGAUGAAAAGGGACUUCUCGUUCCAUGGACAUCCACUUAUAUAUCUUUCAAUGAAAAUGAUCCAGAAAUAUUUAAAACUUGUGUUUUAUCAAUUGUUUAUAGUAUUUCUACUUGUAAACUAUUAAACAAACUGCACAAGAUGGAUCCGUUCACCCACAACAUAAAACACUUACUCAAAUAUAGGUGAACAUAUUAUUGAAAGUUCAUGAAAGUGGGUGUGCAUGGGAUGAAAAGGGACUUCUCGUCCCAUGGACAUCCACUUAUAUAUCUUUCAGUGAAAAUGAACCAGAAAUACUUGACACUUGUGUUUUAUCAAUUAUAAUAUUUCUACUUGAAAAAGGCCAAACAAACUGCACAAGAUGGAUCUGUUCACUCACAACAUGAAACACUCAAAUAUAUAUGAACAUAUUAUUAAAAGUUCAUGAAAGUGGUUGUGCAUGGGGUGUAAAGGGACUUUAUAUUCCAUGGACAACCACUUAUAUAUCUUUCAAUGAAAAUGAUCCAGAAAUAUUUAAAACUUGUGUUUUAUCAAUUGUUUAAAGUAUUUCUACUUGUAAACUAUUAAACAAACUGCACAAGAUGGAUCUAUUCACUCACAACAUGAAAUACUUACUCAAAUAUAUGUGAACUUAUUAUUGAAAAUUCAUGAAAGUGGGUGUGCAUGGGAUGAAAAGGGACUUCUCGUCCCAUGGACAUCCACUUAUAUAUCUUUCAAUGAAAAUGAUCCAGAAAUAUUUAAAACUUGUGUUUUAUCAAUUGUUUAAAGUAUUUCUACUUGUAAACUAUUAAACAAACUGCACAAGAUGGAUCUAUUCACUCACAACAUGAAAUACUUACUCAAAUAUAUGUGAGCUUAUUAUUGAAAAUUCAUGAAAGUGGGUGUGCAUGGGAUGAAAAGGGACUUCUCAUCCCAUGGACAUCCACUUAUAUAUCGCUCAGUGAAAAUGAUCCAGAAAUACAGAAAACUACCAAACACACUGGACGAGAUGGAUCUGUUCACAACCUGAAAUACUUACUCAAAUAUAAGUGAACAUAUUAUUAAAAGUUCAUGAAAGUGGUUGUGCAUGGGGUGUAAAGGGACUUUAUAUCCCAUGGACAACCACUUAUAUAUCUUUCAAUGAAAAUGAUCCAGAAAUAUUUAAAACUUGUGUUUUAUCAAUUGUUUAUAGUAUUUCGACUUGUAAACUAUUAAACAAACUGGACAAGGUGAAUCUGUUCACAACCUGAAAUACUUACUCAAAUAUAAGUGAACAUAUUAUUGAGAGUUCAUGAAAGUGGGUGUGCAUGGGAUGAAAAGGGACUUCUCGUUCCAUGGACAUCCACUUAUAUAUCUUUCAGUGAAAAUGAACUAGAAAUUCUGGGAACUUGUGUUUUAUCAAUUAUAAUAUUUCUACUUGAAAAAGGCCAAACAAACUGCACAAGAUGGAUCAGUUCACUCACAACAUGAAAUACUUACUCAAAUAUAUGUGAACUUAUUAUUAAAAGUUCAUGAAAGUGGUUGUGCAUGGGGUGAAAAGGGACUUCUCAUCCCAUGGACAACCACUUAUAUAUCUUUCAAUGAAAAUGAUCCAGAAAUAUUUAAAACUUGUGUUUUAUCAAUUGUUUAUAGUAUUUCGACUUGUAAACUAUUAAACAAACUGGAAAAGAUGGAUCUAUUCACUCACAACAUGAAAUACUUACUCAAAUAUAUGUGAACUUAUUAUUGAAAAUUCAUGAAAGUGGGUGUGCAUGGGGUGAAAAGGGACUUUUCAUCCCAUGGACACCCACUUAUAUAUCUUUCAGUGAAAAUGAUCCAAAAAUACUAAUAACUUGUGUUUUAUUAAUUGUUUAUAAAUUUCUACAUGAAAAAAGCCAAACAAACUGCACAAGAUG
rnacentral:lncRNA from 1 species